rnacentral:rRNA from 1 species
AACGAACGCUGGCGGCGCGCCUAAUACAUGCAAGUCGAGCGAGAAGACGUAGCAAUACGUUUGUAAAGCGGCGAACGGGUGAGGAAUACAUGGGUAACCUACCCUAGAGUGGGGGAAUAACUAGCCGAAAGGUUAGCUAAUACCGCGUACGCUCCUUGGACUUCGGUUCAGGGAGGAAAGCGAUACCGUGGGUAUCGCGCUCUUGGAUGGGCUCAUGUCCUAUCAGCUUGUUGGGAGGUAACGGCUCACCAAGGCUUCGACGGGUAGCUGGUCUGAGAGGGACGAUCAGCCACACUGGCACUGCGACACGGGCCAGACUCCUACGGGAGGCAGCAGUAAGGAAUAUUGCGCAAUGGGCGAAAGCCUGACGCAGCGACGCCGC